GGGAGGAGUGCGAGGGUCUCUGAGACAGGUUGGGAGCCAGCCCCACCUCCAUUUCCAAAGCGGGGGUCCAGGCACAGGAACAGCCAAACGCCCGAACCAGCGGGGUUACCUUUGCCACUUCAUCCAAUCCGAGCAUCGGCUGGAAACUGGGAAGUUUGUCAGACAAAGCUCUUCAGGUUACUGGCAAUUUAUGUGCUGGGAGGUGGAUUUGUGGGCAGAGCUCCGGCUGACCUGGUGUUGUCCUGCUAUGGCUACAGACUUCUGACUAUGCUUAUCAGAAAAACUUUCAUUUGGUUCAAGGAUUUUUGCUGACAAGUUUAUUUAAUCCCUGAACCUGGAUCCAAGGCAUCUCCCUGUAGAAAACAUCAGACCGGGGCAGAGAUUGACAAAGCAACCCAAAGCAGCAGCUGCCAACGGCCGCUGUGCCCACCUCAUCAGCAGCUAAAGAGUAUAAUUUUAAAAAAAGUCACAGAAGAAUGUGGAGACACUUAGCAAAACGGACUCUCAUAAGGAGGCUGAUGGACUACAUCCAUGGGGUACUUUGUCCUCUGGCUUCCAAUUAGAUUCAGACAACAGGAAGCAUCAACAGCUAAUGGGAGACGAAGAGGAAAAAUUGGGGUACCUAUUCCCCUAGAUUACUCCCUGCUGAUUGCUGCAGAGGGGCUUCAUCCUUGCCCUGGUUUCUGGAAAACACUCUUUCAUUGCCCAUGCAGGCCUAGGAGUGAUGAUGCCUCACUGGAUGGCAAAGUCUCUUAUUGGUUUCCCUAAAUCUUACUCACAACUUGUAGAUACUCCCUCUAUUAAAUCCUUUUCAGUUACCC
rnacentral:lncRNA from 1 species